GAUGAAGAACGUAGCGAAAUGCGAUAAGUAGUGUGAAUUGCAGAAUUCAGUGAAUCAUCGAAUCUUUGAACGCACAUUGCGCCCUUUGGUAUUCCAAAGGGCAUGCCUGUUCGAGCGUCAUUUGUACCCUCAAGCUUUGCUUGGUGUUGGGCGUCUUGUCUCUAGCUUUGCUGGAGACUCGCCUUAAAGUAAUUGGCACCCGGCCUACUGGUUUCGGAGCGCAGCACAAGUCGCACUCUCUAUCAGCAAAGGUCUAGCAUCCAUUAAGCCUUUUUUUCAACUUUUGACCUCGGAUCAGGUAGGGAUACCCGCUGAACUUAAGCAUAUCAAUAAGCGGAGGA
rnacentral:misc_RNA from 1 species